UCCUUGGUGGUCCAGUGGUUAAGACUUUGCCUUCCAAUGUAGGGGAUUUGGGUUCAAUUCCUGGUCAGGGAG
rnacentral:tRNA from 1 species